GAUGAACGCUGGCGGCAUGCCUAAGACAUGCAAGUCGAACGAGGCGGCCCACUGAUACAAAUGGAAGUUGGAGUGCUUGCACAAAGAUGGAAAAUUGUUGAUGUGGAUCUUCCGCCUAGUGGCGCAAGGGUGAGUAACACGUGGGUAAUCUACCUUAGAGACUGGGAUAACAGUUGGAAACGACUGCUAAUACCGGAUGAUAUAUAAGAAGAUACGUUUUCUUAUAUUAAAAGGAGCCUUUAAAGCUUCACUUUAAGAUGAGCCUGCGGCGUAUUAGCUAGUUGGUGGGGUAAAGGCCUACCAAGGCAACGAUGCGUAGCCGACCUGAGAGGGUGAUCGGCCACACUGGGACUGAGACACGGCCCAGACUCCUACGGGAGACAGCAGUUAGGAAUAUUCGUCAAUGGGGGAAACCCUGAACGAGCAAUGCCGCGUGAAGGAAGACGGUCCUCUGGAUUGUAAACUUCUGUUGUUAGGGAAGAACGACCAUUAUAGGAAAUGAUAAUGGAGUGACGGUACCUUUCAAGAAAGCUCCGGCUAACUACGUGCCAGCAGCCGCGGUAAUACGUAGGGAGCGAGCGUUAUCCGGAAUUAUUGGGUGUAAAGCGUGUGUAGGCGGGAAAUUAAGUCUAAGGUCUAAGCCCGGAGCUCAACUCCGGUUCGCCUUAGAAACUGAUUUUCUUGAGUGUGGUAGAGGCAAACGGAAUUUCUAGUGUAGCGGUAAAAUGCGUAGAUAUUAGAAGGAACACCAGUGGCGAAGGCGGUUUGCUGGGCCACUACUGACGC
rnacentral:rRNA from 1 species